rnacentral:rRNA from 1 species
GACGAACGCUGGCGGCGUGCUUAACACAUGCAAGUCGAACGGAAAGGCCCUGCUUUUGUGGGGUGCUCGAGUGGCGAACGUGUGAGUAACACGUGAGUAACCUGCCCUUGACUUUGGGAUAACUUCAGGAAACUGUGGCUAAUACCGGAUAGGAGCUCCUGCUGCAUGGUGGGGGUUGGAAAGUUUCGGCGGUUGGGGAUGGACUCGCGGCUUAUCAGCUUGUUGGUGGGGUAGUGGCUUACCAAGGCUUUGACGGGUAGCCGGCCUGAGAGGGUGACCGGCCACAUUGGGACUGAGAUACGGCCCAGACUCCUACGGGAGGCAGCAGUGGGGAAUAUUGCACAAUGGGCGGAAGCCUGAUGCAGCAACGCCGCGUGCGGGAUGACGGCCUUCGGGUUGUAAACCGCUUUCGCCUGUGACGAAGCGUGAGUGACGGUAAUGGGUAAAGAAGCACCGGCUAACUACGUG